CCAAUCUUUAUGAAAUUUGUUCAGAAUGUUUAUCUUGAUGAAAUCUGGGUUGGGAUUGUAUUUGGGUCAUCUGGGGUCAAAAACUAGGUCACUAGGUCAAAUAAUUUAAAUAUCAUCAACAAUAUGUUUUUGUAGACAGUAGAGGUCACAGUUUUCAUCAAAUCUUUAUGAAAUUUGGUCAGAAUGUAUAUCUUGAUGAAAUCUGGGUUGGGAUUGUAUUUGGGUCAUCUUGGGUCAAAAACUAGGUCACUAGGUCAAAUAAUAGAAAAACUUUGUGUAGACAAUAGAGGUCACAGUUUUCAUCCAAUCUUCAUGAAAUUUGGUCAGAAUGUUUGUCUUGAUGAAAUCUGGGUUGGGAUUGUAUUUGGGUCAUCUGGGGUCAAAAACUAGGUCAAUAGGUUAAAUAUUAGAAAAGCCUUGUGUAGACAAUAGAGGUCACAGUUUUCAUCCAAUCUUUAUGAAAUUUGGUCAGAAUGUUUAUCUUGAUGAAAACUGGGUUGGGAUUGUAUUUGGUUAGUCAGGUGAGCGAUUCAGGGCCAUCAUGGCCCUCUUGUUAAUAUCUCCCUUUAUCUAAUUUUACAAUAAUAUUUAAUUUGAACACUGAAGUAUUCACUGUAAAUGAAUAGAUGAGUUUAAGGAAAUAUACAGUGAUCAAGAACAGUAUCUGUUUAUAGUCUUCUUUUUUAAUUACCUCACUUUCUUUCAUUUCUAUAUAUUUUAUUCUCUGUAGCAUAACUCCAACACUAUAUAACUAAUUGAUCAUUGAAAUAUAAAAAGAUGACACAGGU